rnacentral:rRNA from 1 species
UACCUGCAGUGAGCGGGGGAAGGUAGCUUGCUACCGGACCUAGCGGCGGACGGGUGAGUAAUGCUUAGGAAUCUGCCUAUUAGUGGGGGACAACAUCUCGAAAGGGAUGCUAAUACCGCAUACGUCCUACGGGAGAAAGCAGGGGAUCUUCGGACCUUGCGCUAAUAGAUGAGCCUAAGUCGGAUUAGCUAGUUGGUGGGGUAAAGGCCUACCAAGGCGACGAUCUGUAGCGGGUCUGAGAGGAUGAUCCGCCACACUGGGACUGAGACACGGCCCAGACUCCUACGGGAGGCAGCAGUGGGGAAUAUUGGACAAUGGGGGGAACCCUGAUCCAGCCAUGCCGCGUGUGUGAAGAAGGCCUUAUGGUUGUAAAGCACUUUAAGCGAGGAGGAGGCUACUCUAGUUAAUACCUAGAGAUAGUGGACGUUACUCGCAGAAUAAGCACCGGCUAACUCUGUGCCAGCAGCCGCGGUAAUACAGAGGGUGCGAGCGUUAAUCGGAUUUACUGGGCGUAAAGCGUGCGUAGGCGGCUUAUUAAGUCGGAUGUGAAAUCCCCGAGCUUAACUUGGGAAUUGCAUUCGAUACUGGUGAGCUAGAGUAUGGGAGAGGAUGGUAGAAUUCCAGGUGUAGCGGUGAAAUGCGUAGAGAUCUGGAGGAAUACCGAUGGCGAAGGCAGCCAUCUGGCCUAAUACUGACGCUGAGGUACGAAAGCAUGGGGAGCAAACAGGAUUAGAUACCCUGGUAGUCCAUGCCGUAAACGAUGUCUACUAGCCGUUGGGGCCUUUGAGGCUUUAGUGGCGCAGCUAACGCGAUAAGUANACCGCCUGGGGAGUACGGUCGCAAGACUAAAACUCAAAUGAAUUGACGGGGGCCCGCACNAGCGGUGGANCAUGUGGUUUAAUUCGAUGCAACGCGAAGAACCUUACCUGGCCUUGACAUACUAGAAACUUUCCAGAGAUGGUGGUGUUCGG